CAGGCCUAACACAUGCAAGUCGAGCGGCAGCACGGGUACUUGUACCUGGUGGCGAGCGGCGGACGGGUGAGUAAUACCUAGGAAUCUGCCUGGUAGUGGGGGAUAACGUUCGGAAACGGACGCUAAUACCGCAUACGUCCUACGGGAGAAAGCAGGGGACCUUCGGGCCUUGCGCUAUCAGAUGAGCCUAGGUCGGAUUAGCUAGUUGGUGAGGUAAUGGCUCACCAAGGCUACGAUCCGUAACUGGUCUGAGAGGAUGAUCAGUCACACUGGAACUGAAACACGGUCCAGACUCCUACGGGAGGCAGCAGUGGGGAAUAUUGGACAAUGGGCGAAAGCCUGAUCCAGCCAUGCCGCGUGUGUGAAGAAGGUCUUCGGAUUGUAAAGCACUUUAAGUUGGGAGGAAGGGCAUUAACCUAAUACGUUAGUGUUUUGACGUUACCGACAGAAUAAGCACCGGCUAACUCUGUGCCAGCAGCCGCGGUAAUA
rnacentral:rRNA from 1 species